UUAUUUUUUUAAACCAAUUUUAAAAGGCUACUUCUAAAACUGUCAUCCAUGCUUUGUGUUCAUUCUUUGGUUACAAACAUUUUCUGUUUUUGAAUUCAUUUUAUUAUUAUUUUUAAGAUAUUUCCAAAGAGAAGGUUGUUAUUUGAGUUCUAUCAGGCCCCAAGAAUGUGUUCACGGGAUAUGGAAUGUGAUGUCUAAGUGUUUAGACGGCAAACAGCCACGAACAUUUCUUUUCAGAUAAAAUAAAUGUAUGUAACAGCAUUUUCAUGGUUGGUGAUUGCAACAUUUCUCACAUCUUCUUACUUGCUCCCAGAAAUAGAGACAGAAACGUAACUCACCUCGCAUCCUCCUUGGCAGUGGUAACCCCAGGACGUCACGCAAGUAGAAGGAAUUGUUGGGGUUUCGGGUUUGAGCAAGGAGAAAACUUUUGAGGCAAAGCUAUAAUAAUUAGCCAAUGUGACAAGGACUGAAAGGCAGCUGGGUGCUGGCCUUCGCUUUAGGCCACGGGGGCCUACCUGUGAGGGGCCAGCCAGUCCUUCCCCGGAGCCCUGAGGUCUCUGGAUGGUGACAGGCAGGGGAGGGCCAGCCUCUGGCCUUUGGGUCUGGAUUCCAGAAGAAUGCAGCAGUCUCGCUUUCUCUGCAGUCUGGCCUUUCCCGCGUCAGUCACCUGUGCCAACCAUAUUCAGAAGCAGGUGAGCCCCAUUGGCUCGGAUCAUCAGGAGGUCACGAAUGGGCUGACCCCAGGUCACGGCCCAUUUCCUCGCCUCAUGUCUGCAGGAGUGCUCCUUAGCAGACCAUGAUUGCACCCAAAGCACAGUUAUUUUGUAACCUCAGCCAGUGGUUCCCAGCUCUCUUCUGCCCUAGGAUUCAUGCUUGCACUCUGUUCCCGGGUCAGAUUCCAGGCCUUCAGCAUCUUUAAGACAGAGGUGCCUCCAGAUUCCCUGGGCUCGGAAUCCGCAGCGUGAGCGUCGCCUGUGCUGCCUGGAUGACAUCCAGAGCCAGCGGGGACCCUGCGGCCCCUCAUCACCGCGGUGGGGACGGCAGCCCACGGGCGCCACGGCCCCACCUCCUCGUCCUGAGGGGUCCGCAGGAUUAGCAAAGCAUUCGGGCGCCCUGGAGGCCGAGGCGAGGGCAGGGCCCCGCGGCUGGAAGGGGCGCAAGGACUGCACACAUGGUAGGUGUCGUUGGCGCGGCUACCGGGCUGCUCAGCAGCCUCGCGGGCAGGAACCUAGACCCUGCAGGCUGGCACCUCGGCUCUGCCCCGUGCGUCCCUUAGGGCCCCUGUCCGUCUACACUGCACGCCCGUCAGUGCCUUUCUCAAUCUGUUCCAUCGGUCCAUCUGCACGCCGGUUACAGAUUGAUUGAUUGAUAUAUUUUAUUCACAAAAUCUCCUCCCUGUGUCAUUCUCUUUAACCACCCAGGCUACAGGAUAUCAAACAAAUAGUCCUUGCCAGGAAUCUGAGGGCUUGAUGGAGAAGGAAGGAAGACAUGCGCACGCACACACACACACACACACACACACAGACUGGUUAAGAAUCUGGGUUUUGGCCUAAGAUCACUCAGGUUCAAAUCCCAUCUUUGGCAUUUCCUAGUGGUGUGGCCUUGAAAAGUCACUUAAUUUUUCAAAGUUUCAACAUUCUUGUCUAUAAGAUGGAGAUAUACCCAUCAAUCAAACAUUUAGGGAGAGCACACUUUGUGGCCAGCACAGGCUGGGCACGAGGGAUCUAGCUCGAGACCACAGACAAAAUCCCUCCCAAGCAGACCUGGUAUUCAGAUCUCAACAAACGGAUCUUAAACGCAAAAUAAGGGAUGCACAGUGUGGCAGGUAAUGAUGACUAUGCUAUGACAGAAAACAGCAGGGUGAGCCCGGAAUGCAGGAGGUCGCUCUACUAGCGAGGGCCGCGAACUCUUGUCUGAGGGGCAGGUGUGGGGCUGCGGACGGAAAGGGCCAACCUGGAGGAAGAGCAUGAGGCUCAGGAGGAAGGUCCUGAGGCGGGGAGCAAGGCCCUGGGGAGGAGCAAGGCCCUGGGAAGGAGCAAGGCCCUGAGG
ensembl:lncRNA